rnacentral:rRNA from 1 species
UACGGAGGGGGCUAGCGUUGUUCGGAAUUACUGGGCGUAAAGCGUACGUAGGCGGCUUUGUAAGUUAGAGGUGAAAGCCCGGGGCUCAACCCCGGAAUUGCCUUUAAGACUGCAUCGCUUGAAUCGCGGAGAGGUGAGUGGAAUUCCGAGUGUAGAGGUUAAAUUCGUCUAUAUUCGGAAGAACACCAGUGGCGAAGGCGGCUCACUGGACGCGUAUUCACGCUGAGGUACGAAAGCGUGGGGAGCAAACAGG